rnacentral:rRNA from 1 species
GACGAACGCUGGCGGCGUGCUUAACACAUGCAAGUCGAGCGAUGAAGCUCCUUCGGGAGUGGAUUAGCGGCGGACGGGUGAGUAACACGUGGGUAACCUGCCUCAUAGAGGGGAAUAGCCUUUCGAAAGGAAGAUUAAUACCGCAUAAGAUUGUAGCUUCGCAUGAAGCAGCAAUUAAAGGAGUAAUCCGCUAUGAGAUGGACCCGCGUCGCAUUAGCUAGUUGGUGAGGUAACGGCUCACCAAGGCGACGAUGCGUAGCCGACCUGAGAGGGUGAUCGGCCACAUUGGGACUGAGACACGGCCCAGACUCCUACGGGAGGCAGCAGUGGGGAAUAUUGCACAAUGGGGGAAACCCUGAUGCAGCAACGCCGCGUGAGUGAUGACGGUCUUCGGAUUGUAAAGCUCUGUCUUCAGGGACGAUAAUGACGGUACCUGAGGAGGAAGCCACGGCUAACUACGUGCCAGCAGCCGCCGUAA